GAGUCUGGCUUUCCGCGGCUGCUGGCCUCGCGCGUCUUCCCCGCCCGCGUCUCCUCGCUGUCGCCGCCGCUGCCACACCAUGGCCUUCGUCACCAGGCAGUUCAUGCGUUCCGUGUCCUCCUCGUCCACCGCCUCGGCCUCGGCCAAGAAGAUAAUCGUCAAGCACGUGACGGUCAUCGGCGGCGGGCUGAUGGGCGCCGGCAUUGCCCAGGUUGCUGCAGCAACUGGUCACACAGUAGUGUUGGUAGACCAGACAGAGGACAUCCUGGCAAAAUCCAAAAAGGGAAUUGAGGAAAGCCUUAGGAAAGUGGCAAAGAAGAAGUUUGCAGAAAACCCUAAGGCUGGCGAUGAAUUUGUGGAGAAGACCCUGAGCAGCAUAACGACCAGCACGGAUGCAGCCUCCGUUGUCCACAGCGCAGACUUGGUGGUGGAAGCCAUCGUGGAGAAUCUGAAGGUGAAAAACGAGCUCUUCAAAAGGCUGGACAAGUUUGCUGCUGAACAUACAAUCUUUGCCAGCAACACUUCCUCCUUGCAGAUUACAAGCAUAGCCAAUGCCACCACCAGACAAGACCGAUUCGCUGGCCUCCAUUUCUUCAACCCAGUGCCCGUCAUGAAACUUGUGGAGGUCAUUAAAACACCAAUGACCAGCCAGAAGACAUUUGAAUCUUUGGUAGACUUUAGCAAAGCCCUAGGAAAGCAUCCUGUUUCUUGCAAGGUAAGAGUAUGGGUAGCUGGGAAGGAGGUAGUUCUUUUCUUCUUGGACCCUGACUUGUUCCUGGUAGAAUUCUUCUCAUAGAAUGAUGUGAAAGAAGGAGCAUUGUAUACUGCAAGCUUGUCCACGUGCUGUAAAGAGCAAUCCGUGCCUCCUGUUCUAGUUUGCAGACAGGGAAACUGGACUCCUAAGCCAUGCCUAAGGCCAUCAGGUGGAUAGUCUGAGACCUGAAUGGAGCUCAGGACACCAGCUGAGUAGAAGACACGGGACUGCUCUCUGUCCUGGCUUUUGUCUCCUGAUGAGUGGCUGCAUUUUCGUAAAUGGUUUUGGUUGCCCAAUCAGCUGUAACUUCCACUGGGCCACUGGGAGUCAGAACCCUGUGUGUCAGGAAGAGCUUGGUAAACACAUACAUCCCUAACAGAAAAUGAGGGCUUUACUUUUGCAAGAAAUACUACAGAUGGUGAAAUAAAUGAUAAGACAGUGAGAGAGCAACCUGCCAAAGUAGCAAUAAGGAACCUGUUUCUCACUGGAAAGUUGCAUUAUGUUUUUAUUGUUUGUUGUUUUGUUUUUCAAGAAGCAGCAUGGUUUAGUGGGAAUCCUGCUUGACCUCCAUCUGUUUUUCCCCUUUCUUAAGCUGCCCAGUUAUUGUAUAUAAAAUAAUCCCAGUUCCUGAAAUGAUAACCUACCUGAAGGUAAUUAUUUUGAUUACCUUCAGUUUCUCCAUUUGCUUUAGUUCCUCUUUAGUUCCUCCAAAACUCGGGGACUAUACUUAUGCAUGACUUUGCAGUUUUUCUUAAGAGGUAGUUGUGUCACAAAAUGCUACACCAUUACAAAGAUUUACAUAUAAGUCAUCUACUUUUUUUUUUAACCGUAAUCCUUUAUAUCAUUAUAGUUCUCAUAGCAAACUUCUGCUUUCUAAAAUAUUCUCGAGUUUGAACUCACAGUACUGUACUAACCCAUGAAAAAUCAUGUUGUUCAUGAAUCAUCUGAAGAAGCCAUCUGUUGAGGUGGACUCCAGCAGCCAAAGAGAGCAGGCUUGUGUGUCCUGCUCCUUCCCGUCCAUUGGUAAAGUGUUGUUAGGUAGUCUCAUGCUUUAACACCCAUUUUUUGUUUGUUUAGUUCUGUAGUUUUAAGUCAUCUAGAUUUCUAAAAUCAAAUUAAUAAUUGGAUGGUAUGAUUGUACUUUCUUACGCAGUUAUGCUUUGUUAGUGGAAGAAAGUAGUAAUAGUAUUGAAAAGAACGUCUGUGCAAGACAAAAAGAUAUGGAAACAGAAGUACAGGGAAAAGCUAAUGAUUAUCUUCAGCAGCAUAAUAAUUAAUCUACAAAGUAAUGAUUCAGUCUUCCAUCAGAGUGGCCACGGCAACUGCAGAGAUGGGAACUCUUUGUUCUCAUUAAAUUGUUCUUGUUAGGUCAUUCCAGAACUCUCUCUGUGUGGUAUUCUAAGGGCUUUCAGAGGGUCUUUCUGGUUCAGUUAUUGAAGCUCUUGAUGAGGCAUCUGGACAAUAUAUGGCAACCACAUAGGACAAGGGUCAGCAAAUUUCUGUAAAGGACCAGAUAGUGAAUAUUUUCAGCCAUACAGUCUCUGUUGCAAGUAGUCAGUUCUAUUGUUGUAGUAUGAAAACAGCCGUAGACAGUAUAGGCAGUAUGAGUGUGGCUGUGCUCCAGUAAAACUUGACUUACAAAAACAAGCUGUGGGCUGGAUUUGGCCUACAGUAUUGUACUUUACCAAUACUUGACAUAGAAGAGGGACAUUAAUGUGCCUUCCUAGUGAGACUUCAUGAGGGGAUUGUGGUAUAAAGGUUAAGGGUAUGAACUAGCCCAACCGGGUUCAAAUCCUGGUGUCGGCACUUAUUACCUGUGUAACCUUAGGCAAGCUACUUAACCUCACUGUGCCUCAGUGUCCUCAUGCCUCACAUAGGGAUAAUUAUAGUACCUCUCUCACAGGGUUAUUAUCAGGAAUGAAUAAAUUAAUAUUUUUAAAGUAUUUAGAACAGUACCUGGCACACAGUAAGUACAGUAAAUAAAAUGUGUUUAAUAAAUAAGAAUCUGAAAAAUAUGAAUUUGAUUACAUAAAAUAAAAUUACUUUAUUUAAAGUUUGUGUCUCCUGCUAGGCACGGUGCCUCACGCCUAUAAUCCCAGCACUUUGGGAGGCCAAGGCUGGUGGAUCACUUGAGCCCAAGAGUUCGAGACCAGCCUGGGCAACAUGGCAAAAACCUUCUCUACAAAAAAAAUAGCUGGGCAUGGUGGUGUGCACCUGUGGUCCCAGCUACUUGGGAGGCUGAGGUGGGAGGGUCGCUUGAGCCCAGGAGGUGGAGGCUGCAGUGAGCUGAGAUCACGCCACUGCACUCCAGCCUGGGCAACAGAGCAAGACCCUGCCAAGAAAAAAAAAAGACUGUGUCUCUUCACGUUCCACCAAUGUACUGAUAGCAUCUGUCUCUCUGCAUUCUCAAUAGCAUCAAAUAUUAUUACAGUGGGGGAAAAAACCUUUGAUAAUCUUGUUGGCAAAAAUGCACAUUUUUUGGAUUACUAGUGAGUUUAUUUAUUUUUAUUUUUAUUUUAUUUUAUUUUAUUUUUCGAGAUGGAGUCUCGCAGUGUCGCCCAGGUUGGAGUGCAGUGGCGCAAUCUCAGCUCAUUGCAACCUCCGCCUCCCAGGUUCAAGCGAUUCUCCUGCCUCAGCCUUCCGAGUAGCUAGGACUACAGGCACGUGCCACCACACCCGGCUAAUUUUUGUAUUUUUAGUAGAGACGGGGUUUCACUGUGUUGGCCAGGCUGGUCUUGAACUCCUGACCUUGUGAUCCUCCCACCUUGGCCUCCCAAAGUGCUGGGAUUACAGGCGUGAGCCACUGCGACUGGCCAGUGAGUUUAAAUAUUUAAUGAGUCUUGGCACUUUUUCCUUAUUGAGCUCUAUGAGCUUUUUCUGUAGAAGAUAUUAACUGUUGGAGCUUCAUGUUCUCAGGUACCCUAUCUUGAAUCUAUAGUGAACCUUUUGAAGUUGAAAAGAGUAUUUUUGUCUCAAUUAUAAAAUCUGUAUUGUUCCAUAAUCUUAAUUAAGCUGAUAAAACUUGUUUGUGCAUCUUUGUGCCCAUGUGGCAAUAGAUGGGGUUAGGGCUUGGUUUCAGUUUGCCUAGGGUUAAAGGAAGUUCACAUCCUUUGUGUUAUUGUCCAGUUUCCCAGCAUGCAGUCAGGUUAGCUCUGUGAGGGGUGCCUGGUCAUCUGUAAUUCAGACAUUAAGGAAGUACCUGGUGUGUGCUAGAAACAGAAUGCAGAGUUCGGGCCAGGGUGAGGAUUUCUGCCCUCAGGAAGAUCACAGCCUUUUGACAAAAGAGGAGGCACCAUUUGCCUAGUGGACAUCAGCCUCAACAAAAAAUCACCUGUUUUUCUCUGCAAGUCCCUGGAAGAGAUCAGUAGAUAAAAUCCAAAUCCCACACCUGUCCUCCAGAGAGAUGAUUAAUGUUAGUUACUGAGAAGGGAAACGGAUGAAAGGCGUAUGUGGCACAGGGGUCACCGCAGGAUGCAGCGGUCUUAGGGGGUGUGCCGUGAAAGGCCAGCUCUCUGUCAGUGGCUCUGCUCCUUUGUCGGAGCACCUGCCCCCAAGUCAGCUCCACUGCACUGUGCGCCGGAACCUGAGAAGUUGCUGAGUAGCCUAGGAGUGGCUCCAAGGAGCCUGGAAAGCAGUCCUCCUUUGAGGACCAUUCAAGGUGGAGUGUGACGUUUUGUCGAUUCUUGAAAGGGAAUUGGAAGGAAAGAGGAGGAGUAAAGGGAUGGGUGUAGGGCUGUGUGUACAGCAUUUUAUGUGUUUUCUGAUUUGUCUUCACAACUUUGAGACAAACUGUCACCCCCAGUUCACAGAUGAUGAAACAGAUUCAGAGUGACAGAAGGACCAAGAGAGUAUUCAAGACUGAACCCAAAUCUGCCUGUCCCAAAGCCAUGCUCUUCCAGGUCACACCUGUGCCUUGGUCUGUUUUUAUGUCAGGAUCUGUGCAGUGGGGCAUCUGGGUUUGAAUUUUUUUUUAAGUACUAUGAUUGUUGGAUAAAUUGUCAUAUGAGAUAGAAAUAAGGCCAUGCUGCAAAUUUCGAAAAUGUACAGCUUGAUAAAUGGGGGCAAACAUGAUCCAGGGUAAGAAGGGGCAAUUUGGUGACUUCACAAAAGAUACCAUUUAAUGAAAGUUUACUAGUUUUUUGUUUUUUUGUCUUCCAAAACAGGACACUCCUGGGUUUAUUGUGAACCGCCUCCUGGUUCCAUACCUCAUGGAAGCAAUCAGGCUGUAUGAACGAGGUGAUGCAUCCAAAGAGGACAUUGACACUGCUAUGAAAUUAGGAGCCGGUUACCCCAUGGGCCCAUUUGAGCUUCUAGAUUAUGUCGGACUGGAUACUACGAAGUUCAUCGUGGAUGGGUGGCAUGAAAUGGAUGCAGAGAACCCAUUACAUCAGCCCAGCCCAUGCUUGAAUAAGCUGGUAGCAGAGAACAAGUUCGGCAAGAAGACUGGAGAAGGAUUUUACAAAUACAAGUGAUGUGCAGCUUCUCCGGCUCUGAGAAGAACCCCUGAGAGCGCUUUCCAGCCAGUGCCCCGAGUGCCUGUGGGAAUGCUCUUUGGUCAGACAUUCCCUCACACAGCACAGUCUAAUAAAUGUGCAUUUUGAUUGUAAUCUAUUAAAGUGAUUAUUACACCAGUUACAGCAGUAAUAGAUUCUCCAUUAAGAACUAAUUCCCUUUUUUAGUCUGUUCAUUUCUGUGUAUUUUCUAAACAGCUUUACACCCUUGGUGCCUUGGAGCAAACAUGUUUUUUGAACCUUGUCAUUUUUAUGAAGAAUUGCCUGGAUUCGUUCUCUCAUCAAGGGGAAAGUACUUCCUCCGAGAGUGCGAGCGCACCAUGCUCACUGUUGCUGCGUGGGAGAGUCACAAGCCACUGGCAAGCACGUGGUAUAGUCUGUGAAGCACUGCAGCGAGCAGCACCUGGAUCUUGCCUUUGUAAGAACAUUUUACUAUCUGCAGCUUUGAGUCUUGCCCUACAUUUUGGGCAUGACAUAAGAUGUGUCUUUAUUCAGCUCGUCAUGAAGAUGCUGCUGCUGAAUGGGUCGGCAUAUCUGUAUGUGCAUGGUUUGCAGGAGGUCAGUUUUCAUGGUCAUCCAGUUCCACAGAUCUGAAUGAUUACUGUCUGUCUGUGUCUUUUUUCCAUGAGAAAUCACUUGCAAAUUGCCUAUAAAUUGACUCUACUAAAAUAACAAUGUUUCAGUCUGAAAAUUUGAAUUGAAAAAAAUGUAUAAUAUAAAAUUGUAAUAUACUUAAAUGAUUAUAAAAGUAAAAAGUUGG
rnacentral:sRNA from 1 species